AGAAGCAGUUACUUUAUUAAUCAGGAUGGCUUCCGUGGCAAGUAAGAGCAAAUCUAACUUGACAAAUUUUAUUGGUCAUAAACAGAAGUCCCAAGAAAGUACACAAUGACUCAAGCAGUUAUUAAUCUGCCAAUUUAUGACAGCAUUAAAAGACCAGGUUGUAUUCUUUUCAUCUUUCUGCUCCAUCUUAUUCAGUCUAUCAUAUCCAAAAAGAACCAGGAUACCUUUCUUAGAAAUUCCCUAACAUAUCUCUAGACUUGUCCCAUCAGCAAAAAUGGUGCUGUGUUUUUUGUUUUUUGGUUUUUUUUUUAAUAUUCCUCGGUCCAAAGCCUACUUCAAUGCAGUUACCUCAAAAAGAAGGAUAAGAAGACAAUAACAAAAAAAGAGUAAAUGACUAAAUGGAAUUAGACCACUAAGAAAAACACAUUUUUUGUUUUAGGAAACUCUGCAUGUAAAACUCCUUAAUAAAUGCUUUUCAAGGGUGAUGUCAGCAUCAUGACAAUGUGAGAUGUUCCCUUUGUCUCCUCCAGCUGAGCCCACAGCUCCUGAGAACCAGGUACCAUCAGGGGAGGCAGUCCAUACAAUGCUGGCCUCCUGGCUGCAGGAGAUGUUUGUGGCCAAGGGAACCAGAUAGCAGUGGGACAUGCAAUCUCAGCCC
rnacentral:lncRNA from 1 species